CAGUAGCCACGGUAAUACGAAGGGUGCAAGCGUUACUCGGAAUUACUGGGCGUAAAGCGUGCGUGGGUGGUGGUUCAGGUCCGUUGUGAAAGCCCUGGGCUCAACCUGGGAAUUGCAGUGGAUACUGGGUCACUAGAGUGUGGUAGAGGAUAGUGGAAUUUCCGGUGUAGCAGUGAAAUGCGUAGAGAUCGGAAGGAACAUCUGUGGCGAAGGCGACUAUCUGGGCCAACACUGACACUGAGGCACGAAAGCGUGGGGAGCAAACAGGAUUAGAUACCCCAGUAGUCCCUGUCUCUUAUAC
rnacentral:rRNA from 1 species